rnacentral:siRNA from 1 species
UUUCAAAUAUUUCAUUGAAUCUUUU